rnacentral:rRNA from 1 species
AUGCGUGAUCUUUUUUGGAACCUGCGGGGCUUCGGUCACGAUGGCCGCCGCAGGCAGCUCAUUGAGUACAUGUGUGAGGAAGCCAUUGAUGUGGUGGCGAUUCAAGAGACAAUGCGCACUGAGUUUUCUCUAGCGGAACUUGAGCGCCUUAGUAGACAUCUCUUUGCCUGGCACUGGUUGCCGUCUAGUGGGGUGACCGGUCACUCCGGUGGCAUCCUUUUAGGUGUGAAGGAUGCCACCUUUGAGGUGGGCUCCAUGGACCGUGGAACCCACUUUGUUAGUAUGGCAGUCUGGGAACGUGACGUAAACUUCAAGUGGGAGAUCAUAGUGGUCUAUGGUCCGGCCGAUCACAGUCGAUCCGCCGCCUUCUUGGCGGAGCUCCAUGCCAAGAUCUCCUCUGCGACCCUCCCGGUUGUGGUUGGAGGCGACUUCAACCUCCUUCGAUCCGCGGAGGAGAAGAAUAACUCUCGGGUGGAUUUAGCCGAGAUGCGUCGUUUCAAUGACUGGGUCGCGGAUCUGGGUCUCCGUGAGUUAGACAGGGCCGGGGAGCGUUUUACCUGGACUAACCGACAGGUCUCCCCGACCCUUAGCGUGCUUGAUCGGGUGUUUAUCUCCCCGGACUGGGAACUUCGUUUCCCUUUGGCAUCCCUUCAGGCCAUUACCCGUAUUGGCUCUGACCACGUCCCCCUCCUCCUCGCUUCUAUGGAUGAACGGCCGCGCCCUCCCCCGCGGUUCCAUUUCGAGAACUUCUGGCUUCGGCAACCUAGCUUUAUGGAAGCGGUCCAGAAUCAUUGGGUCGCGGCUCGCGCCGAGCCCCAUAGGCAGAUGUCUAUUCUCGAUGAAUGGCAUCACUUGUCCAAACGAUCCCGACAGUUCAUGAAGGGAUGGGGGGCGAACAUUGGGAGAGAUCUUCAUAUUCAUAAGGCUUCCCUCCUAGAGGAGAUCCGGGGCCUUGACCUCCGCGCAGAUAUCACUGGGAUCUCCGCGGAGGAAUGGAUGCAUAGAUAUAACUUGGAGGACUCCCUUAUGGAGAUUUACUCCAAGGAGGAGGAGUUUUGGCGCCAACGUGGCUCCAUUAACUGGGUGCUAUUUGGGCAUGCCAACACUGCUUACUUCCAGGCCAUCGCCAAUGGCCGUAGGCGACGUUGCUCCAUCCCUCUCCUCUGGGAGGGUGGACAGCUAUUUCAAGACCCUCAGGCUAUUCGCCUGCUAGUUGACGACUUUUACAAGUCUCUAUUUCAGGGUCGACAGCGAAAUGGUGUCGCCCUAGCUGACCAUAUCUGGUCACGUGACCAACAGAUUUCCCCCACGGAAAAUGCAAGCCUGCUAGCCCCCUUCGAUGUUGCGGAAGUGGAGACCCUUGUUAAGGCUAUGAACCCGAUGUCGGCCCCUGGCCCCGAUGGCUUGUCGGUUCACUUUUUCCAGGCCUUCUGGCUGAUGGUCAAGGAUAUCAUCCUUGAUCUGUUUAGCGAGUUCUCCAAGGGCACCCUUGAUAUGUCCCGGCUUAACUACGGGAUUAUCUCCUUGAUUCCCAAGGUACCGGGAGCGGCGGACAUUAGACAAUUCCGUCCCAUCACAGUCCUCAAUGUGAUCUUUCGGAUCCUUGCUAAAGGGUACGCCUCUAGGGCGGCCCUUGUUGCUCCCCGGAUUCAUCAUCCGAACCAGUCGGCCUUCACGAAAGGGAGAUAUAUCUUAGAUGGGAUUCUUGCUCUCCAUGAGAUUAUCCAUGAGGUUAAGAGCAAACACCUCCGUGCGGUCUUCUUCAAGAUCGAUUUCCAUAAAGCCUAUGAUACGAUUCAUUGGUCCUUCCUUCGGGAAGUGUUGCUGAAACGUGGCUUUGACCCUCACUGGGUAGCACGGGUAAUGCAAUUAGUUACGGGUGGCCGGACAGCUGUUAAUAUCAAUGGGGAGGUUGGCCCAUACUUCAUGACUGGCCAAGGGGUCCGGCAGGGAGACCCGAUCUCCCCAUUCUUAUUCAACCUUGUGGUUGAUGCACUCGCCUCGAUUCUGGAUUUGGCCAAGCGUGCGGGUCACAUUAAGGGGGUAUGCCCUCAUUUGGUGACACCUGGGGGUUUAACCCAUCUCCAAUACGCGGACGACACCAUUAUGAUGGUGGAGGGCUCUGAUGAGGAUAUACAGAAUCUCAAAUUCCUCCUCCUCUGCUUCCAGGAAAUGUCGGGCCUCAAAAUAAACUUUGCCAAGAGCGAGGUAAUGGUCAUGGGAUAUUCCCAAAGGGAGGCCCAGCGGAUUGCUAAUCGUCUGAACUGCCGCUUGGGUUCCUUCCCGACGACCUAUCUUGGCGUGCCCCUUAGUGAUGCACGACUCCUGGAAAAGGAUUUCCGUCCAAUAGUCGCCAGGCUCCAUCCUAGAAUGGAGCCUUGGCAAGGGAGAUGGAUUUCUAAAGCCGCUCGAGUGAUUCUAAUGAACUCCUCCCUUAUUAGCCUACUGAUGUAUAUAAUGGGAUUCUAUAGCCUACAUGAAUCCCUUCAUCAGGAAAUUACCACACUACUCUCCCGCUUCUUUUGGGCGGGAGAGAACAAUAAGCAGAAGUACCAUAUGGUCAAAUGGUCUGAGAUCUGCAAACCUAAGGACCAGGGAGGCUUGGGGGUCAUCUCCUCCAAGCGUAUGAACAUUGCCCUCCUGUCCAAAUGGCUUUGGCGGAUCCAGACGGAGGAGGGUGGCCUAUGGCUUCAGAUUAUUCGUAGGAAGUACCUUCGCGGGCAACCAUUAGCGUUUGCCUCUAGGUCUGGAGGUUCCCAAUUCUGGCAAUCGGUGAUAUCUUUGCUGCCGGUCCUACGCAUUGGGACCUCCAUUCAAAUAGGCUCUGGGUCUGCCACCCUCUUUUGGCUGGAUAGAUGGGCGGGACCCCGCCCCUUUGCAGAGCAUUUUUACGCCCUAUUCUCUAUCUGUGUUCGCCCACAGACCUCUGUGGCCGCGGCACUAGAGAACCUAGGCGCGAUUGCCUUCCAUUGCACCUUCGCGGCGAUCGAACUUUCGCAAUGGGAUGAAUUACUUGAAUGCAUUGCCCUUCAUCCUCCUUCUCUGGAACCGGAUUCACUUUCCUGGCACCUCGAGCCAAGCGGUAGAUUUUCGACUAGAUCCCUGUACCAGGCGAUUGUGCCUACUCCCGGUCCAGUGGAGCUCAGGGUGCUCUGGGAGAUCAAACUCCCCCUAAAGAUCCGUAUACUUUUAUGGCAAUGGGUUAGAGGACGCCUCCCCUCGGGCACUGAGGUCCGUAAGCGUAAUGGACCCGGGGACGGUCUAUGCCCCAUUUGUCUAGUUCUGGAAGAUUGCAACCACAUCUUCUUCCGGUGCCCGGCGGCGCAGUUCUUAUGGAGCUGCUUUCGGGAGGUAGUUGGGGGCACAUGGUGCCAUGACAACCUCCCAGACUUGUUCGGGGAGGUCCUCCGACUCCCCGGGACUAGGCGCGCCCCUAUUUGGGUCGCGCUAGGUACCCUUGCCUGGUCCCUUUGGUGUACCCACAAUAAAUUAGUCGUCGAACGAGUGAUUCCGUCCCGCGUGACUGAUGUGAUCUACAAAAUGUGUGGCUUCUUACAGCUUUGGAGAUCGAGUCGUCAUCGACAACAUCAUGGCGGGUCUUCGUGCCUCGGCGGCGUCUUUUGCUCCUCCCCCGCCACCUCCCCCGCCCCCUCCUGA